GACGAACGCUGGCGGCGUGCCUAAUACAUGCAAGUCGAACGCUGAAACUUGGUGCUUGCACCGAGCGGAUGAGUUGCGAACGGGUGAGUAACGCGUAGGUAACCUGCCUGGUAGCGGGGGAUAACUAUUGGAAACGAUAGCUAAUACCGCAUAAGAGUAGAUGUUGCAUGACAUUUGCUUAAAAGGUGCAAUUGCACCACUACCAGAUGGACCUGCGUUGUAUUAGCUAGUUGGUGGGGUAACGGCUCACCAAGGCGACGAUACAUAGCCGACCUGAGAGGGUGAUCGGCCACACUGGGACUGAGACACGGCCCAGACUCCUACGGGAGGCAGCAGUAGGGAAUCUUCGGCAAUGGACGGAAGUCUGACCGAGCAACGCCGCGGGAGUGAAGAAGGUUUUCGGAUCGUAAAGCUCUGUUGUAAGAGAAGAACGAGUGUGAGAGUGGAAAGUUCACACUGUGACGGUAGCUUACCAGAAAGGGACGGCUAACUACGUG
rnacentral:rRNA from 1 species